AUUGAACGCUGGCGGCAGGCCUAACACAUGCAAGUCGAGCGGCAGCGGGAAAGUAGCUUGCUACUUUUGCCGGCGAGCGGCGGACGGGUGAGUAAUGCCUGGGGAUCUGCCCAGUCGAGGGGGAUAACUACUGGAAACGGUAGCUAAUACCGCAUACGCCCUACGGGGGAAAGCAGGGGACCUUCGGGCCUUGCGCGAUUGGAUGAACCCAGGUGGGAUUAGCUAGUUGGUGAGGUAACGGCUCACCAAGGCGACGAUCCCUAGCUGGGCUGAGAGGAUGAUCAGCCACACUGGAACUGAGACACGGUCCAGACUCCUACGGGAGGCAGCAGUGGGGAAUAUUGCACAAUGGGGGAAACCCUGAUGCAGCCAUGCCGCGUGUGUGAAGAAGGCCUUCGGGUUGUAAAGCACUUUCAGCGAGGAGGAAAGGUCAGUAGCUAAUAUCUGCUGGCUGUGACGUUACUCGCAGAAGAAGCACCGGCUAACUCCGUGCCAGCCGCCGCUAUAAUAC
rnacentral:rRNA from 1 species